rnacentral:lncRNA from 1 species
GCAAUUUAGGGAGUUGAGAGAGAGUUCAAGAGCUUGCAUUUAUAAGCUCUUGUUACAGUGAUUGAGAGAGUUUGGGUGUAUUGGGGUUUUGGGUAGUGAGCUAAAAUACUACAAUACUUGUAACUCCUUUUCACUAGUAAAAUAUUUCCUUCUGUCUUCGCCCGUGGAUGUAGGAUAAAAGCCGAACCACGUAAUUUCUGGUGUCC